GACGAACCGUGCGAACGUUGUUCGGAUUCACUGGGCUUAAAGGGCGCGUAGGCGGGCCAUCAAGUCAGGGGGUGAAAUCUUUCGGCUCAACCGGAAAAGUGCCUUUGAUACUGGUGGUCUCGAGGGAGGUAGGGGCAUGCGGAACUUCCGGUGGAGCGGUGAAAUGCGUAGAUAUCGGAAGGAACGCCGGUGGCGAAAGCGGCGUGCUGGACCUCUUCUGACGCUGAGGCGCGAAAAGCUAGGGGGAGCAAACGGGG
rnacentral:rRNA from 1 species